GACGAACGCUGGCGGCGUGCUCAACACAUGCAAGUCGAGAGGAGCGGCGAACGGGUGAGUAACGCGUGAGUAACUGCCCCCCUCUCUGGGAUAACAGUUGGAAACGGCUGCUAAUACCGGAUAGAGGGGGGUGACUUGCGUCCUAUCAGCUUGUUGGUGGGGUAGUGGCUUACCAAGGCGACGACGAGUAGCCGGCCUGAGAUGGCGACCGGCCACAUUGGGCUGUGAUACGGCCCAAACUCCUACGCGAGGCAGCAGGGAGGAAUAUUGCACAAUGGGGGAAACCCUGAUGCAGCAACGCCGCGUACGGGAUGACGGCCUUCGGGUUGUAAACCGCUUUCAGCCAUGACGCGGUAGUGGCAGAAGAAGCACCGGCUAACUACGUGCCAGCAGCCGCGGUCAUUC
rnacentral:rRNA from 1 species